rnacentral:rRNA from 1 species
GACGGGGGAUGCGAGCGUUAUCCGGAAUGAUUGGGCGUAAAGGGUCCGCAGGUGGCCCGGUCAGUCCGCUGUCAAAGCCCGGGGCUCAACCCUGGAGAGGCGGCGGAGACCACCGGGCUUGAGUCCGGUAGGGGCAGAGGGAAUUCCAGGUGUAGCGGUGAAAUGCGUAGAUAUCUGGAGGAACACCGGUGGCGAAGGCGGCAUCCUGGACCGGCAUUGACGCUGAGGCGCGAAAGCUAGGGGAGCAAACGGG